ACCGCUAGCGGUUCAACAGUAUACGCACGUCCGACUGGAAACUCGGGCGCAGAUUCUCCCUGGCGCCGGCUUUGUUUCGGUUUAGACUCUCCAAUACCAUUCUUUUCGUUCAUCGCGAACGGAAACGGUAUUGCACAGAACCAGGCAAAAGUAUGCAAAGCACGAAAAAACAUAAAAAGAGCGUGUCCUUGCGUGACUCACCAGCGCGCAAUCCGCGGAAAGCAGGUAGAGCCAGGCGUUCGAAUCUUCUGUGCGUAAGUUGAUACAAGCCUCGUCGUAUGCAAGAGUGUCUUGGUCACAAAUCCACUCGUCCAUUGUGUCCAUGUCACGCUGAACCGAGAAUAAACGCUGGAUAAGGAAGAACUCGCGGUGCACGCUUCGAAAGUCGCGCGAGGAAUCACGACUGUUGACUAGAUUUAACACGCAUCCUUAAUUUGAGAGAAAUGUUUACAACACGUUCCAUAUACGGUGACCGGGAAAGUGGAACGCUAAAAACCGAAUUUUUACCAUGAGUUCUUCUGCCAUUUAUGGUAUGAUAAUAAAGUAUCUAGAUGAAAUAAAAAUGUUUUUACGCAACACAAGAAGAAAAUAUUUGAAUUUGAAAAAAAUUGAAAUUCGAAUUUCUCGAUUAAUUUCUUGACGAGUCGAAGAAAUAUUUCCGAACUAUAAUUUGAUAUUUAUGCACAUAAGAUUGUUACUUUAAAAUCAUCGAUAUAGCAGAAAUUUAAUCUAUGAAGAAUCGAUAUUCUAUGGAUAAAGAACUUUUAGUGGAUGAAGUUCACCGCUGUCUUUCGCCUAAUAUUGCAUUGUUAUGAAAUAACCGACACGCUAUCGAACUCACAAGUAGAUGCGUAUUAUAAAUACUAGGACCUCAAGAAGGAAAAAUGUCGAGCAGUGAUCACGGGACAAAAAGCAAAGAACAAUCGGUGCUUCUCAACGCAAAAUAAUUAAUACAAGGUAUAUAACAAGUUAGUUGGAUAAUUCGCCAUAAUAAUCAGCUCUAACGGUAUAUUACCACAUAUGCGUACGUAUAUCGACGUUCGGUCAGCAAAUGUUUCCACGAUCAAGUAUUGUGUUUAAUCGGCGCGAGUUGGAACGAGAGUGGUGCGACAGCUUUUUAAUAUCGCGCCGUGUGCUGGCGAACAGACAGCCGUCUCGAGUCGUCACGAAUCACGUGGGUGCAUCGACUGACAUUUCACCUGGCAUUCAGCAGGAAUUUUACCUGGCCACUAACCGAGCCAUCGCGAUCUCCUGCAUACAGUAUCGGCCGCCUUGAACCAGACUUUUUAUCCGACGGGCUUUGGAACGUGCUUACCGAUCAUCGUUCAGCGCCUUAUGGUCUGCGAGAUCGAUGUAAUUCUCGUUCGUAACAGAUGUUCCAUGUAACGGAACUUCUUCUGAGUUUAACGGGAUCGAAUGAAAAAAUGUAUAAUGAAACGUGAGGCAACAUCAUUGUGGAAUCAUACAAGCGGAGAUAGGCAACCUCGGACAGGUGGAAAUCGACACACACAUUGACCUGAAUUGGAGAACUCGAUAAAAGGGACUUGAAACGUAUGAAAAUCGAUAAAGCCUUAGCAUGCGAUGAACUUAUAUUGAAUGAAAUCAUUGAGGUCAUUUAAUCCCUAUACUAUUAUCAGGAAUAUUAUUUGAAGUAUAGGUAAAAGUAUUUAUUCGUGUUAUCACAAUUGCUGAUAAAUUUAAUUGAUUAAUUGAUAGAUAUGUCAAUAAUAAUACAAUCGCGGAUGAGAUAUAACAUGGAACAUGCACCUAAUAUUCGAUGCAUAACGAAUUUUUGUAGAUUAUUCCAAUGAUCGUCUAAUUUAAAAAGGUUGGUUAGGUUUAAUUAGGUUGGUACUCCCAAACUAAUGGAAAACAUGACGUGCAUAAAUGGAAAAGAUCUUAAUUUUCAAGUUCCUUUAUUUCGAAGCUAAUUAAAAUACUUUGACAUAUAUAUAUAUAUAACAUCAUGUAAUGAUUCAAAUAAAUAAGUGCCAUUAAAUACGUA